UGGGGAAUUUUGGACAAUGGGGGAAACCCUGAUCCAGCCAUCCCGCGUGUGCGAUGAAGGCCUUCGGGUUGUAAAGCACUUUUGGCAGGAAAGAAACGUCAUGGGUUAAUACCCAGUGAAACUGACGGUACCUGCAGUAUAAGCACCGGCUAACUACGUGCCAGCAGCCGCGGUAAUACGUAGGGUGCAAGCGUUAAUCGGAAUUACUGGGCGUAAAGCGUGCGCAGGCGGUUCGGAAAGAAAGAUGUGAAAUCCCAGAGCUCAACUUUGGAACUGCAUUUUUAACUACCGAGCUAGAGUGUGUCAGAGGGAGGUGGAAUACCGCGUGUAGCAGUGAAAUGCGUAGAUAGGCGGAGGAACACCGAUGGCGAAGGCAGCCUCCUGGGAUAACACUGACGCUCAUGCACGAAAGCGUGGGGAGCAAACAGG
rnacentral:rRNA from 1 species